GUGCCAGCCGCCGCGGUAAAACGUAGGAGGCGAGCGUUAUCCGGAUUUACUGGGUGUAAAGCGCGUGCAGGCGGUCUGUUAAGUUGGAUGUGAAAGCUCCCGGCUCAACUGGGAGAGGUCGUUCAAGACUGGCAGACUGGAGAGCAGUAGGGGAAGGUGGAAUUCCGGGUGUAGUGGUGAAAUGCGUAGAUAUCCGGAGGAACACCAGUGGCGAAGGCGGCCUUCUGGACUGCAUCUGACGCUCAGACGCGAAAGCUAGGGGAGCAAACGGGAUUAGAAACCCCCGUAGUCC
rnacentral:rRNA from 1 species